rnacentral:rRNA from 1 species
AUUGAACGCUGGCGGCAUGCCUUACACAUGCAAGUCGAACGGCAGCACGGGAGCAAUCCUGGUGGCGAGUGGCGAACGGGUGAGUAAUAUAUCGGAACGUGCCCGGUCGUGGGGGAUAACGUAGCGAAAGCUACGCUAAUACCGCAUACGAUCUACGGAUGAAAGCGGGGGAUCGCAAGACCUCGCGCGAUUGGAGCGGCCGAUAUCAGAUUAGGUAGUUGGUGGGGUAAAGGGCUCACCAAGCCAACGAUCUGUAGCUGGUCUGAGAGGACGACCAGCCACACUGGAACUGAGACACGGUCCAGACUCCUACGGGAGGCAGCAGUGGGGGAAUUUUUGGACAAUGGACGCAAGUCUGAUCCAGCCAUUCCGCGUGCAGGAUGAAGGCCUC